rnacentral:lncRNA from 1 species
AAAUACUGGCCCAGAUGAUGGUCUCUGGCCAGGUCAUCCCAAGGUUUCCAGAAAAUGGCCACAAGGUACAUUGGCUAGGUGCUUAAGAAGGCAAACCCACGAGGCUACGUAAUUCCCACCUUUGUCCAAUCAUGGCAAGCAUACAUCCUAACUUACUUCCUGCCUGCCUACCUCCCAGCUCUGUUUGACCAAGCACCUUCAGUGCAGUUGAGUCAACCAAACUUGUUUAGGGAAGUGAAACAUGUAGCCUGUUAACUUAUAUGAACAACAGCCCCCAGCAUCACAGGAAGUAUUUGUUCUUGGGCAAAGGGCUAAAGGCAUAUUUGGUUUACAACUCUCUAAGGCAGAAGAAUUAAAACUUACAACUUAUCUUUGGCUCUCACAGUUUCUUCCCAUGUAUAAGUGUGGAGAUGUCAGGGGAACACUCUCAUGAUAUGCACUGGCCUCAUAGGGAAGCCAAACAAAUAUACCCCAUGCCUGGAUCAGAGAAACUUUACUGGCUUGCUUGGGGAGGCACAAAUAAGGUCACCCAAUGUCUUGAGUCCCCUUGUGUUUUCAUAAACAUACAGGAAAACCUGGAGACUCAGAAUGAUCAGAUGAUCUGAGGGUAGAAGUAGAGAAAGUUGGGAUCCAAAAAAUAGCUGGCCCCAAAUCGACUGAAAUCACUACACAUUCCCAAGGUAGCAUAGGCAACUUUUCAGGAGAAUAGAAACACACACACACACACACACACACACACACACACACACACACACGAUCUUUGAAGUGUUUGCAUUUGUUAUCAGUUGAUCUUUUUCUCCUGACAGUCCUCAAAUGCAUGAUUCUGUGUCUUCUAUUUUUCCUGUGACCUUGUCAAGCCGUUAGCUUAGGAAUGUUAUGAGCACCCAGUGAUAAAGCCAUAUAUAUGGACCAGGUUUCCAUACGUAGGAAAUGCUUUGAGAUAAACUGCUGGCUUUUUGUGUGAUAAUCAUUAACUUGAAAAUAUUUGAAAAAAAAAAUGGGCACUGUCCAAACUUGUUUGUUAACAAACUCCUGGGCAAUAGAGUUUUUGUUUUGUUUUGUUUUGCAAUUAUGAAUAGGAAUUCUCCUUUAAUUAAACUGUAAAAUAUCUGUUAACAACAGCAACAACAAAAAGCCCGAUAAUAUUGGUAAUGCAUAUUAAAUAAGAACUGC